rnacentral:rRNA from 1 species
GAUGAACGCUGGCGGCGUGCCUAAUACAUGCAAGUAGAACGCUGAAGGAAGGAGCUUGCUCUUUCCGGAUGAGUUGCGAACGGGUGAGUAACGCGUAGGUAACCUGCCUGGUAGCGGGGGAUAACUAUUGGAAACGAUAGCUAAUACCGCAUAACAGUAGAUGUUGCAUGAUAUCUACUUAAAAGGUGCAAUUGCACCACUACCAGAUGGACCUGCGUUGUAUUAGCUAGUUGGUGAGGUAACGGCUCACCAAGGCGACGAUACAUAGCCGACCUGAGAGGGUGAUCGGCCACACUGGGACUGAGACACGGCCCAGACUCCUACGGGAGGCAGCAGUAGGGAAUCUUCGGCAAUGGACGGAAGUCUGACCGAGCAACGCCGCGUGAGUGAAGAAGGUUUUCGGAUCGUAAAGCUCGGUUGUAAGAGAAGAAAGAGUGUGAGAGUGGAAAGUUCACACUGUGACGGUAUCUGACCAGAAAGGGACGGCUAACUACGUG